CUGUGUGUGUCUGUGUGUGUCUUUGUGUGUCUCUGUGUGUCCUGAUACCUCCUGUCCAGCAGGGGGCAGCAGAGAACUGGUCAGUCUUUGUUCUGGGAGCUGAUUUCUGUCUUCUUCCAGGAAUCAUACCUGGAUCACCUGUGUCCGGACCAUCACACACACACACUGAUGUAAAUAUGUGUUGAUGAGGCUGGUUGCCAUAGCAACAGCAGGUGUGUGUGUCGAGACGAUCCCUCGCCUCAGAUCAGGACUUGAUGACGCGGCGCUGAGCGAUGAGGUCAUCAGUUCUGCAGGCCUGGGGGGAGCAGAAAGUGACCAUGCUGAGGUGACAGCUGGGGACCAGUGAAGAAACCUGAAGUGUUGACCUCGGAGUCACGCCUUGGUUUUCAUGAGACACUGCCGGCACCGCUGACACAYGACCAGGAGAGGAAGAGCCCUGUUGGACCAAACAACUGAAAGACAAACAGGAACCCUCCAAGUCCUUCGACAGUUCUGAAGUUCAGUUUCUCAUCCAGAAGGACCUAAUGAGAUAAAGUCAGGAGGUGCUUCAAAUCUCAUGUGAGUCUGACCCACAUUUCUGGACUCUUUCACAAGCGUGUGUGGAGCAGGACGUCCAUCUGUCCUCCCUGCUGCUGCAGAGCGCUGAGUCAUGCUCUGCUGCCAUGGCAACCAGAGGAGGACGAGGAGGAGAYGGAUGUGAAAACAUGAAAGCACAGAUUGACAGAGAAUCAGCCUCGUCCUCAGAGACACYGCACAGUUGCAUCAUGGGAGCAGGACCACGGGGGACCCUCGCCUUGCAGGAUGAUGUCAUC